GAGAGUUAAACAGUACGUGAAAUUGUUGAAAGGGAAACGAUUGAAGCCAGUCUUACCUGCGGACAAUCAGCUUUUUGAGUGUGAUUAUGUGGAUUGUGAGGAGUUUAAUCACCCUCAUGUUUUGCAUAUUCGUGCUCUUGGGUGUACUUGCCCGUGUGGUAGGUUAACAUCAAUUUCGGACGUCAUAAAAUGAUUGGAGGAAUGUAGCUUUGAUCUCGUAUCGAAGUGUUAUAGGCUCUGGUAGAUGUGACGAUUGGGAUUGAGGAUUGCAACGGAUACCCCUCGGGGCUACCCGUCUGAUCUCUGAAGGUUGCUCCGGUGCCGAAAGCGUGCUUACGGUCAUCGAAAGUGAUUUUCAAAAGGUUAGAGCGGGUUAAAUUCGUUAAGGAUGUUGACGUAAUGGCUUUAAACGA
rnacentral:rRNA from 1 species